GUGGGGAAUAUUGCACAAUGGGCGAAAGCCUGAUGCAGCAACGCCGCGUGAGGGACGACGGCCUUCGGGUUGUAAACCUCUUUUAGUAGGGAAGAAGCGAAAGUGACGGUACCUGCAGAAAAAGCACCGGCUAACUACGUGCCAGCAGCCGCGGUAAUACGUAGGGUGCAAGCGUUAUCCGGAAUUAUUGGGCGUAAAGAGCUCGUAGGCGGUCUGUCGCGUCUGCUGUGAAAACUGGAGGCACAACCUCCAGCCUGCAGUGGGUACGGGCAGACUAGAGUGCGGUAGGGGAGAUUGGAAUUCCUGGUGUAGCGGUGGAAUGCGCAGAUAUCAGGAGGAACACCGAUGGCGAAGGCAGAUCUCUGGGCCGUAACUGGCGCUGAGGAGCGAAAGCGUGGGGAGCGAACAGGAUUAGAAACCCUAGUAGUCC
rnacentral:rRNA from 1 species